rnacentral:rRNA from 1 species
AUUGAACGCUGGCGGCAGGCCUAACACAUGCAAGUCGAGCGGAUGAAGGGAGCUUGCUCCUGGAUUCAGCGGCGGACGGGUUAGUAAUGCCUAGGAAUCUGCCUGGUAGUGGGGGAUAACGUCCGGAAACGGGCGCUAAUACCGCAUACGUCCUGAGGGAGAAAGUGGGGGAUCUUCGGACCUCACGCUAUCAGAUGAGCCUAGGCCGGAUUAGAUAGUUGGUGGGGUAAAAGCCUACCAAGGCGAGGAUUCGUAACUGGUCGGAGAGGAUGAUCAGUCACCCUGGAAGGGGGACAGGGUCCAUACUACUGAGGUACGGAGCAGUGUGCAAUAGUAGACAGUAGGCGAGAGCAUUACCCAGCCAGGCGGAGUCUGAUACGAAGGUCUUCGGAUUGGAAAGCCCUCCAUCUUGGUGGGAACGGCAGUAAGUUAAUACCUUGCUUGAUUGACGUUACCAACAGAAGAAGCACCGGCUAACUACGUG